rnacentral:rRNA from 1 species
AACGAACGCUGGCGGCAUGCCUAACACAUGCAAGUCGAACGAAGGCUUCGGCCUUAGUGGCGCACGGGUGAGUAACGCGUGGGAACCUGCCCUACAGUGGGGAAUAACGACGGGAAACUGUCGCUAAUACCGCAUACGCCCUUCGGGGGAAAGAUUUAUCGCUGAAGGAUGGGCCCGCGUACGAUUAGCUAGUUGGUGAGGUAAUGGCUCACCAAGGCUACGAUCGUUAGCUGGUCUGAGAGGAUGAUCAGCCACACUGGGACUGAGACACGGCCCAGACUCCUACGGGAGGCAGCAGUGGGGAAUAUUGGACAAUAGGCGAAAGCCUGAUCCAGCAAUGCCGCGUGAGUGAUGAAGGCCUUAGGGUUGUAAAGCUCUUUCGGGUGGGACGAUGAUGACGGUACCACCAGAAGAAGCCC